rnacentral:rRNA from 1 species
AACGAACGCUGGCGGCAUGCCUAACACAUGCAAGUCGAACGAGAUCUUCGGGUCUAGUGGCGCACGGGUGCGUAACGCGUGGGAAUCUGCCCUUUGGUUCGGAAUAACAGUUGGAAACGACUGCUAAUACCGGAUGAUGACGAAAGUUCAAAGAUUUAUCGCCAGGAGAUGUGCCCGCGUAGGAAUAGCUAGUUGGCGUGGUAAAGGCGCACCAAGGAGACGAUCCUUAGCUGGUCUGAGAGGAUGAUCAGCCACACUGGGACUGAGACACGGCCCAGACUCCUACGGGAGGCAGCAGUGGGGAAUAUUGGACAAUGGGCGAAAGCCUGAUCCAGCAAUGCCGCGUGAGUGAUGAAGGCCUUAGGGUUGUAAAGCUCUUUUACCCGGGAUGAUAAUGACAGUACCGGGAGAAUAAGCUCCGGCUAACUCCGUGCCAGCCGCCGCGGUAA